CUCUCGUCUUGCGUCUGGCCCUGCUGCACAGUGGCUCUCUCCUCUCUGGUUCUCUCUGCACAGUGAUCGAAAAAAAGCAAGAGAGAGAGAGAGAGAGAAAGAAAGAGGAACUGUUCUACCACGAGGUGUGAGGUUGAAAGUGAAGAGCGCUACAUUUCACGCUUUGUAAUGGAGAACUGAGACCUACUGCCUGUAUUUUCAUGGAUAAUCUCUCCCAUUCUCGCCUCCCCAACAGGGGUUCUACCUCCGUUUCUAAGAAAAUUUGCAAUGGCAGUAAUGGCGGUGGACCUUUUGUAGCUCAGACUAUCUACGACGACGUUUAUGGCGGUCCUCCCAAGUUUGGUGUCUCUGCUUUGUCUCCUCGCUUCGAAGACUAUGGUGAGAUUUUUGGGAGCUUCCAUGCCCUCCGUACUUCCUCCAUUCCGAUUCUUGAUCUUCCGGCUGUCGAUGAAUCUGAGGUUUUCUUCGACGCUCGGAGCUCGGCAUUUGACUAUGCGGAGGUUUUUGGAGGGUUCGAUGGUUUGAAUUUUGCGAUUUCUUAUGAGGAACUGGUUGGCCCUUCCCAAGGCGUUGAUGAUGGCUCUUCCGACGAAGCUUGGACUCCAGCAGGAACUGAUUCUUUGUCAGACUGUUCAGAUCAUUCUGGAAAUUCUCAUUGUAUGUCAAAUGAAGACUCUAAUCAGUCAUUUGGUGAAAGCACUGAAUUUUCCAUAUCGUAUAACAAGGUUAACCGAGAAGGCAAUGGAAAUGUAUCAGAUGGGAAGAUACACGUAACCCAGUUGGAGAUGCUUCCUGGAUUCUCAUAUCUGGUUGAUGAAGCACAUCCCUCACCAAAGGGAACAUAUGACGAUCUAUCCCUGAAGACCAAUGACGAUAGCUAUCUCAAUAUAGAUUUUGAUACAGGAAAGGUUAAGGGCAAACAUCCAAAGAACACUAUGCCACCCCCAGUGGACAGUAAUGGCUCUGGACACGUAUUCGAGGAUAGCCUUAUUUGUCAAAAUGAAUUUGGUAGAGAGGUUUUUCAUUCUCAUGAAGAUUUCAUAACCGUAUCUGAAAUAAGCCUUAGAACUGAACCUUCUCAAGUUCCACCACCUACUCGGCCGCCUCCCAAGUAUGCUGCCAAAAUGGGGGACUACACUAAAAUGGCUUUAAAUUGUGGGGAUGCUUCUGAAAUAAUUUCGGAUGAUCAUUUUAAUCCUUUAUUUGAUGUGGAGGUCGACGCUAGUUCAUCUGCAGCAGCCUCUGCUGCAGCUAUGAAAGAAGCAAUGGAAAAAGCUCAAGCACGUUUGCAAAGUGCAAAAGAUUUGUGGGAGAGGAAGAAAGAAGGAGUCCAUGGACGGAUGAGACUGGAUGCAAAAUAUGAUAUGAGAGAAAAGGAAGGAAAUUUGACCAAGAUUCCUAAUCGAUUUAAGAGUUUGACGGAUGAAAGGGUGCAGGAUAUUGGUGAAAUUCAUGACCAUAAAAUGAAUUUGCCUGCUGGAGAGAAGAGGAAAAAGGAUGUGAAGGCAACUAAGGUUUGUUCAACACCAUUUGGAGGAGAGGAACUAUUAACAGUCGAUGAAAAGACCGUACCAAUUAGAAAUGGGAGUAGAUUUCUUGUGUCUGAUAAUCAUGAUUGCUGCAGUGAAUGGAAAGACGCCACAGAGUUUUUUGAAUUGGCAAGAGCAGAUAUAUCUGGAAAGGAAUUUGAGUUGUUGGACAAUGAUGAGAUUUCCAACUUUGUGACUGAACCAAUAGUAGCAGAGACCAUCAUUGAAGCAUGGGAGAACGAUAAGGAUCAAGACAAGGAUGGGAAACCAUUCCAUACGGCUCAUGCUCUGAAUGAAAACGUGAAAGAUUUGGAGAAUAUGGUCCAUGGGAAGGUGGAAAAACUAAAACCAAAUAAAGACGAGACUAGGCAAAAAGAGCAGGUGAAACUUCAUCAAGGUGUUUGUGAUCUUGAAGCAAAUGAUAGGAUAUUUGGAGUUGCACAAGACUUUAUGGAAGAAAAAAAGCGUAUGUUCAAUGCUAGUGAAAAAGAACAUGAAAACCGUAUUGAGUUUAAACAACUGGACAGUGAGCUAAAAGUUGAUCAACCUGUUUCACCAAUUGAUAUCGAACAAGAAAAGAAGAAGGUUGUUAAAGGAAAGGAAAAUGGAAAUAUUCUCAAGGAAUCUCAUAGAAAAGAAAACAAUGCAAAUAAAAUGGAAGAAGCCCUUGAGAACGAGAAAAGAGAAAAGCUGUUCUCGGAGGCUUCUGAAAGGGAAAAGCUUGAGCAAAAAAAGAUGAUGUUCCUCGAGCAAGAAGAAAAUAAGAAAAGACUCAAUUUGGUUCUUGCGGAUGAGAACUUUAGGGGACAGAUGGCUCGUGAAAGAGAACUGGAUGGUGUCCAUGGGAAGGAAGAUCAUGGGAAAAGGGGAAAAGAGGCUGCCAAAGUUGUAAGUGAGAGAUCAAAAUUAGCUCAUGAGAGAGAAGAUGACGACAAAUGGUCAAAAAAUAUUCAGUAUCGAGAAGAAUGUGAAAUAGGAGUUAAGGAUUCAUUUCAUGAACGCAGGCCAGGUGAUGUGGGUAAGUGUAAAGUGCCUCAGAUGUUGGUUGAAGAUUCACAAUAUAGUGCAGAUCUCAAGGGUGCGAGUAUGGAGCAUGAUGAAUUAGAGAAAUUGAGUGACAGACACGAAGUAAACUCAACAAUAGGAUCUCAAGCAUAUGUGGAAGUGAAGGAUUUGGGGAUAUCUGCUGCGGCAUUUCAAAUGCAUGAUGACCAAAACCACUUACCCACGGUACUAGCUUGUUCAAUGGGGGUGCCUGAAGAAUUCUCUGUUGUAGAUGAAAGUGGAGAGAGGACUACCGUCACAGGUAAUAAAACUUCAUCAGAAAGUGAUGGAAUUGAUAAUCUGCAAUUUUCCAAAAAUUCUUCUGCAUUGGGUGCGAGGCAGGCAGAGAUAGAACAUCAUAAAGUUUCAGUGGAAAUGGAAGAUGCUGAUAUUCAACUUUCUUUCAAUGAAUGGACCAAAAAAGUAGGCAAAGAAACAAGCUUUCAACCCAAACCUGGUGAUACACAAGCAGAAGCAACUAAUUCGGAAGAUGCAUUUUCAUCUGAAAACUCAACAUGUGUGGAUGAGCGAGAGAAUGAAAUUGAAGAGAACGCACUUAAGAUGGAUGAUAUGAAAACAUCACCUCCUCUGGAUAGAAGUGGUGAGAGAGCAGGUCAAUCUAACGUUGGCAUGGAAGAGUUUGUAGGGAGAAAGACAUUUGUCACCAGAAUGGAUUGUGAUCCUGAACAACCAGAAAGUAACUUGUUUUGUCGUAUGGAAGAUAAAGUGAAGUUCUCUAACCAGGCUGAAGAUGAGGGACAAACAGUUUCUGUUCAGGGGGUGAAUAUAAAGGCUGAGAAAGGAAGUGGAAUGGAGUCAACUCGGCCAACUAUUUCAGGAAGGAUACAAAAGAGCGGGGAAUUUGCCUAUGAGGUCGAUGCAAAUCAGGCCACAGAAAGAAAGGAAAAGCUUGUGAACCAGAGCCAUAAAUCUAAAGGAAAAGAGAGUGAGAGAGUGAGGAGCGAAUCAGAAUUCGAGAAUGAUAGGCUUCGAAAAUUGGAAGAAGAGAGGGAAAGGGAAAGAGAGAGAGAAAAGGAUAGAAUGCAUAUUGAUAGAAUUGCUCUUGAACCACGUGAUAGAGUAGGUGCUGAAACUCGUGAAAGGGCAGAAAGGACUGCUCUGGAGAGGAUGACUGCUGAAGCUCGACAAAGAGCAUUGACAGAGGCACGUGAAAGAUUGGAAAAGGCUUGUGCAGAGGCGAGGGAAAAUUCAUUGGCUGGAAAGGCAACUAUGGAGGCAAGGGUAAAGGCAGAGCGUGCAGCCGUAGAAAGAGCAACUGCAGAGGCCAGGGAGAGAGCUGCAGAGAAAGCCAUGUCUGACAGGACUUCCUUUGGGGUGAGAGAGAGAAUGGAAAGAUCUGUUUCUGACAAAUUCUCUGCGUCUUCGAGAAAUAAUGAAAUGAGACAGAAGUCUUCAUCCUCUGGUCAGCCCAGCCUACAAUCUCAGAGCUUUGGCUCUUCCCUUGCUUCAAGAUAUGCCUACCACUCGGCUUAUGAUGAGAGGAAUGAGGGUGUUGAUGGUGAAUCGCCUCAAAGAUGUAAAGCCAGAUUAGAGAGGCAUCAAAGAACAGCAGAACGUGCAGCAAAGGCUCUGGCAGAAAAAAAUAUGCGUGAUCUUCUUGCACAAAGAGAGCAAGCUGAGAGAAAUAGAUUGGCUGAGACAUUGGAUGCUGACGUUAGGAGAUGGUCAAGUGGGAAGGAAGGAAACUUGCGUGCCUUGCUUUCUACACUUCAAUAUAUCCUUGGACCUGGUAGUGGUUGGCAGCCCAUUCCCUUAACGGAAGUUAUUACUGCAGCUGCUGUAAAGAAAGCGUACAGGAAAGCCACUCUGUGUGUUCAUCCAGACAAAUUACAACAACGGGGUGCAAGUAUUCAGCAAAAGUAUAUAUGUGAGAAGGUCUUUGAUCUACUAAAGGAAGCUUGGAACAAAUUCAACUCGGAAGAGCGGUAGCCUAAGCUCAUUGUCUAUGAAGAGAAAUUUAUAAAUCUACCACUUUUUGGCUACUACCUGUAUUACUUAGUAGUGCUGGUACGAGUAUCUCAUGGAGGAUCCCACCAUUAGCCUGAUGGAAGGGCGGCUGAAGAGGACAACCAGUGUACCAACCAUAGUACUCGGUUCAGGGUCGAGAAAUCUGACGUCUGCCGUGCCUGCUCAAGCAAAACUGAAGCAGUCGAAGAAAGCUAGCAAAGGACAUGCUCUUUUUAAUUUCUUUGAUUUUGGUCGGAAGAGGAAGUCAACUGCCAAGCCUGAAUUUGCAAGGUAUCUGGAAUAUGUGAAGGAGGGAGGCCUGUGGGAUUUGAAAGCAAAUGCUCCUGUAAUCUACUAUAAAUGAUUCAAUUCAUA